GUCCACGCUGUAAACGAUGGGUACUAGGUGUCGCGGGUAUUGACCCCUGCGGUGCCGUCGCUAACGCAUUAAGUACCCCGCCUGGGAAGUACGGCCGCAAGGCUAAAACUCAAAAGGAAUUGACGGGGCCCGCACAAGCGGUGGAGUAUGUGGUUUAAUUCGACGCAACGCGCAGAACCUUACCCAGUCUUGACAUCCUGAUAACCUCCUAGAAAAUAGGAGGGUGCUCUUCGGAGAUUCAGAGACAGGUGCUGCAUGGCUGUCGU
rnacentral:rRNA from 1 species